GACGAACGCUGGCGGCGUGCUUAACACAUGCAAGUCGAACGAAGUGGCGAACGGGUGAGUAAUCCGUGGGUAACCUGCCCUCCUCUUUGGGUUAAUCCUUGGAAACGGGGCCUAAACCCGAAUAAAGGGGGAUGGGCUGGGGGCUUAUCAUCUGGUUGGUGGGGUGAUGGCCUACCCAGGCGGUGACGGGGAGCCGGCCUGAUAGGGUGACCGGCAACGUGGGGACUGAGAUAAGGCCCAGAGUGCUACGGGAUGAGGAAGUGGGUGAAAUUGCACAAUGCGCGAAAGCCUGAUGCGGCGACGCCGCGUGGGGGAUGAAGGCUUUCGGGUUGUAAACGUCUGUCGCUAGCGAACGGGUAGGUGGAGAAGAAGCGCCGGCUAACUACGUGCCAGCAGCCGCGGUAAUAC
rnacentral:rRNA from 1 species